UUUGGACACUAGUUUUUCAACGUUCGCUUGAUUCAUCCUUGCGCUAUAAUAAACACUACCCUAACCUAGCAACUUUCCUUACGACACGACAUGCACGUGAGAGGAAAAUGUGUGUCUCAAUCACAUUUCAUCAUGUAUGUUAUAAUAGAUAGAGAUGGACUGUAUAUGGAAAGUCGAGCGACACAGUUAUAUAUUAAGACUAAAUUAACUAAUGGCUUGUGUAAAAGGUUGGCCAAGUUGUGCUAACGUACUUAUAAAUCAGUAAUAAGAAGAAUGAUAUUAAAGAUUAUUGCAUUUAUUACCUUUUAUUUAUUCAUUUGAAAUUAUAACAGAAAAGAUGUAUUGAGGACAAUAACAUACGCGACGUAUAAUACUACGCGCAGCAGACUGUAUUAUCUAUUAUAAAUAACUGCAAGAUUUCUCACAUUGCUGUGUGUAUGUACAGCGAAUAAAAGUCAGCGUUGCUUUUUGGUCAAUUAAAUGCUAUCUCUGCUUCCACGACACACUUGAUGCAUUGA